AAACCAGACUGUUUAAAAAUAAGUCUCCAUGUAUGUCUGGGCCCACUGCAACCGUUCCCUUUAAGUACAGUCAUUUUCCUUUAAUUGGGCUCACCUGGCAAACUAAUUAUCACAGGUGUUUGAGAUUGAUUUCAGUGUUCCAAAGAGCCUAAGACUCA